rnacentral:tRNA from 1 species
CAGGGUAUAGUUUAAAAAAAACUUUAAUUUUGGAGGUUAAUGUUAAGGUUUACCUUUUCCCUGA